rnacentral:rRNA from 1 species
UACAGAGGGGGCAAGCGUUGUUCGGAAUUACUGGGCGUAAAGGGAGCGUAGGCGGGUUUUUAAGUCAGGUGUUUAAUCCCGGGGCCCAACCCCGGACCGGCACUUGAAACUGGGAAUCUUGAAUAGUGGAGAGGUCAGUGGAAUUGGGGGUGUAGCGGUGGAAUGCGUAGAGAUCCCCAAGAACACCAGUUGCGAAGGCGGCUGACUGGACACAUAUUGACGCUGAGGUGCGAAAGCGUGGGGAGCAAACAGG